AGAGUUUGAUUAUGGCUCAGGAUGAACGCUAGCGAUAGGCCUAACACAUGCAAGUCGAGGGGCAGCACAUGAAGUAGCAAUACGGAUGGUGGCGACCGGCGCGCGGGUGAGUAACGCGUAUGCAACCUGCCUACAACAGGGGAAUAACCCGUUGAAAGACGGACUAAUACCCCAUAACACAGGGAUCCCGCAUGGGAAUAUUUGUUAAAGAUUUAUCGGUUGUAGAUGGGCAUGCGUUCCAUUAGCUUGUUGGUGAGGUAACGGCUCACCAAGGCAACGAUGGAUAGGGGAACUGAGAGGUUUAUCCCCCAUACUGGUACUGAGACACGGACCAGACUCCUACGGGAGGCAGCAGUGAGGAAUAUUGGUCAAUGGACGCAAGUCUGAACCAGCCACGUCGCGUGAAGGAAGACGGCCCUACGGGUUGUAAACUUCUUUUGUAAGGGAAUAAAGUGCAGUACGUGUACUGUUUUGUAUGUACCUUACGAAUAAGGAUCGGCUAACUCCGUGCCAGCAGCCGCGGUAAUACGGAGGAUCCGAGCGUUAUCCGGAUUUAUUGGGUUUAAAGGGUGCGCAGGCGGGAGAUUAAGUCGGCGGUGAAAUUUUGCAGCUCAACUGUAAAAGUGCCUUCGAAACUGGUUUUCUUGAGUGUGGAUGAAGUAGGCGGAAUUUGUGGUGUAGCGGUGAAAUGCAUAGAUAUCACGAGGAACUCCGAUUGCGCAGGCAGCUUACUAAACCAUAACUGACGCUCAGGCACGAAGGCGUGGGGAUCAAACAGGAUUAGAUACCCUGGUAGUC
rnacentral:rRNA from 1 species